AUGGCUCGAUUGGCAAAUGUAGGCUUGAGGAUUUGAGUUUGAUCUGAACCCAUAUUAAAGCAAAACAGAACAGAACAGAACAGAACAAACAGGCAUUGUGGCAUGUGCUUAGAAUCCCAGCACUGGGGAGGCAGAGACCGGUUGGUCUUUGGGGCCCCUGGUCAGCAGCCCAGCAAGCUGCAGAUCUCAAUGAUUCUUUCUCAGCAGAAACAACAAACCCAACCAAAGAAAGGGAGCUAGACCCCAAAACCCAACAGAAGAAAGGGAGCUAGACCCCAAAACCCAACAGAAGAAAGGGAGCUAGACCCCAAAACCCAACAGAAGAAAGGGAGCUAGACCCCAAGGAGCCCCAGCGUCAACCUCUAGCCCUCCUAUGUGCACAUCUUUAUAUCUAGAGACCCUGAACUUAAAUCACUUCUGCGGAGUUCCUCUGCUACGACAGGUAACCCUCACGACGUUAAACACAUGUGCAGCCACCUGAGCAACGUUCACCCAAACAACAACCAACCAAAGUGACAAAUGGAGAUAAACUUGUAGUGAUCCACAUUUUCUUGAGUUAUUAAAUAUUCUCUAAUGCUCUUUUUUCAUAUGCAAUGACACUUUUGUUGUACGAAAGCUUCUUAAAUAUAAACUGUCACCUGUUAUCACUGCCAGACCAAACCUCAGAGGACAGAGAAUAAAGGAAGAUCAAGACAAACAUGUCUGAAAAGCUGCUCUCCAUGGGGAACGGAUUGGCUUUUUAUGUCUGCGGGUCUCAGCUUGGCCAGGUGAAUGUUUUCCCCCCCUUCCUCUAACAGGGAGACCGAGUUCCGUCAGAGUUUUUGGGCUCUUGCAUUGCAUUUUUAUAUGGAGCAAAGUGCAAAAGGUUAUUUCUAGCAUUAAUCGUUGCAACUAACGGAGACGAGGGCCCGGAGGUAGGCGUUGUGCUGUGAAGCUUUUCUACAGCGCCUCAAUGAAGAUGCUCGAUCCCAUGUGGCUCCUGUACAGCCCGCUAAUAGAGAAGCAGUGUUAAUGAAGGAUUGCAUCAUCGGCAAUGGGCCUGCUGAGUAGCUGGGCUCUGGUCGGCUGCUGCCAAAAUGCAGUUCUCAUUUCCAACAAACAAAGUCUAUCUGAGAGACAGCACAGAGCCCUUCAGAGCUGGGAAGUCCUGUGCAUAUUAAUGAAUCUCAGCUCUUCUUUUGCCAAAGAGCCUGGGCACUUUGGAUGUCAUAGGUCAGCCCGGUGACUCAGAGGGGGCCUGAUCCUUAUCUAAGCGUUUGCAGCAAAAUUAGAAUGUGCUGUAGUCUUAUUAAAGAAAUGUUUGUCCCUCCGUCAAUGGGCAGAAAAGAAAGCAGCUCAAAUGUACUUUUGCAAAUUACAGCAAUAAAACUGCCUGAAUUAA